rnacentral:rRNA from 1 species
AGAUUGAACGCUGGCGGCAUGCCUAACACAUGCAAGUCGAACGGCAGCACGGGGGCAACCCUGGUGGCGAGUGGCGAACGGGUGAGUAAUGCGUAGGAAUCUACCCACGAGUGGGGGAUAGCCCGGAGAAAUCCGGAUUAAUACCGCAUAUGCCCUACGGGGUAAAGCGGGGGACCGAAAGGCCUCGCGCAGCAGGAUGAGCCGAUGUCCGAUUAGCUAGUUGGUGGGUAACGGCCUACCAAGGCGACGAUCGGUAGCUGGUCUGAGAGGAUGAUCAGCCACACUGGGACUGAGACACGGCCCAGACUCCUACGGGAGGCAGC